rnacentral:misc_RNA from 1 species
UACGUAGGGGGCGAGCGUUGUCCGGAUUCACUGGGCGUAAAGGGCGCGUAGGCGGCUACGGAAGUCCGAUGUGAAAAUCUGCGGCUCAACUGCAGACCUGCAUUGGAUACUCCGUUGGCUAGAGGACGGUAGAGGCAAGUGGGACUAGCGGUGUAGCGGUGAAAUGCGCAGAUAUCGCUAGGAACGCCUGUGGCGAAGGCUGCUUGCUGGGCCGUUCCUGACGCUGAGGCGCGAAAGCUAGGGGAGCGAACCGG